rnacentral:rRNA from 1 species
CCUACGGGGGGCAGCAGUGGGGAAUAUUGGACAAUGGGGGCAACCCUGAUCCAGCCAUGCCGCGUGUGUGAAGAAGGCCCUCGGGUUGUAAAGCACUUUCAGUGAGGAAGAACGCCUGGUGGUUAAUACCCAUCAGGAAAGACAUCACUCACAGAAGAAGCACCGGCUAACUCCGUGCCAGCAGCCGCGGUAAUACGGAGGGUGCGAGCGUUAAUCGGAAUUACUGGGCGUAAAGCGCGCGUAGGUGGCUUGAUAAGCCGGUUGUGAAAGCCCCGGGCUCAACCUGGGAACGGCAUCCGGAACUGUCAAGCUAGAGUGCAGGAGAGGAAGGUAGAAUUCCCGGUGUAGCGGUGAAAUGCGUAGAGAUCGGGAGGAAUACCAGUGGCGAAGGCGGCCUUCUGGACUGACACUGACACUGAGGUGCGAAAGCGUGGGUAGCAAACAGGAUUAGAUACCCGUAGUC